UAUAAACACCAUAUAGAAGUCAUUAUAUAUUUUCGUGGCAAGUGGGUUUCAACAUACACGUGUGAUCAACUUUCAAUUAUAUAAUAUUACAUGAAAGUUUAUAAACUGAUUAAUAAAAGGAAAUAUUAUUGGAACUAUCAGAGUGAAAAGUGCUAGUUGCUGUGCCGAAGGCAUCGGCCGUUAGUUUAGGCCAGAGGGCUUAGACAGCGCUUUUCGUCAACUCUCUCUAACUUGGCUAUAGCCGCAUACACCCCGCUAUCCGAUCAAACAGGGCGUGCCGACACUUGGACUGAGGGAUUACGUAACCAAGAUCGCGCUCAAGUGGCCGAGGCAGCCGCUCCUAAUCUACGCCUAGGAAAAGGGUCUGGGAGGCUGAAAAGAUCGUUGGGACUCAGCUCCAAAACGGAAUUUAGACCCCGAUACCAGCUUAAACGGCGAGCAGAUGCAGCAGUGUUACGCAGUAUUAACAACUACAUCGGAGUCAUCUUGGGCCCAAUGAUACAUCGGUGAGAGUAAGAGCUAUUGUGAGUAUUUGUAAGCGUUUAUAUGCGUAUAAUAUUAUAAUAUA